rnacentral:rRNA from 1 species
CCAGACUCCUACGGGAGGCAGCAGUGGGGAAUAUUGCACAAUGGGGGAAACCCUGAUGCAGCGACGCCGCGUGAGUGAAGAAGUAUCUCGGUAUGUAAAGCUCUAUCAGCAGGGAAGAAAAUGACGGUACCUGACUAAGAAGCCCCGGCUAACUACGUGCCAGCAGCCGCGGUAAUACGUAGGGGGCAAGCGUUAUCCGGAUUUACUGGGUGUAAAGGGAGCGUAGACGGCGCUGCAAGUCCGGAGUGAAAGCCCAUGGCUUAACCAUGGUACUGCUCUGGAAACUGUGGAGCUUGAGUGCGGGAGGGGCAGGCGGAAUUCCUAGUGUAGCGGUGAAAUGCGUAGAUAAUAGGAGGAACACCGGCGGCGAAGGCGG